AUUGAACGCUGGCGGCAUGCUUUACACAUGCAAGUCGAACGGCAGCGCGGGCUUCGGCCUGGCGGCGAGUGGCGAACGGGUGAGUAAUACAUCGGAACGUGCCCAGUAGUGGGGGAUAGCUCGGCGAAAGCCGGAUUAAUACCGCAUACGACCUGAGGGUGAAAGCGGGGGAUCGUCGGACCUCGCGCUAUUGGAGCGGCCGAUGGCAGAUUAGCUAGUUGGUGGGGUAAAGGCCUACCAAGGCGACGAUCUGUAGCUGGUCUGAGAGGACGACCAGCCACACUGGGACUGAGACACGGCCCAGACUCCUACGGGAGGCAGCAGUGGGGAAUUUUGGACAAUGGGCGAAAGCCUGAUCCAGCAAUGCCGCGUGUGUGAUGAAGGCGUUCGGGUUGUAAAGCACUUUUGGCGGGAACGAAAAGGACCGUGCCAAUACCACGGUUGGAUGACGGUACCCGCAGAAUAAGCACCGGCUAACUACGUG
rnacentral:rRNA from 1 species